GCUGUGAAAUCCAUUUUGCUGAGGCUUAGUACCUAGCAAAAGGGAGAGCUGUUUAGUAUAGGCAGCACCUCCUCAUCUAUCACCCUUAGCAAAUCCCUGCCUUAAGAGCCGAAGCAGAAACUAGAAGGAGCGUGGCAACAACUUCUGAAUUGAUAUUAAUCCUUUAUUGCCAAUUACUGAGAAAGUGCUGGCCCAGCAGGCAGCGUCCCUUGGAAGGCCACAGGGAGGUGUGUGUUUUGUUCAGAUCCUGAACAGCCAAAGUAGCCUGCCACGUUGCAAGGCAGCAACCAGCAGCAGCCAGGUGCCACAAGGAACCAGCACUCAGUUCUUCCAGGGACUUCAAUACUAUAUACCAUGAGAAGAAACUUAAUUCUGCUAAUGAAGUCACAAUCACUGUAUUUGAAAAAAUAAUUGUGUGUCACAUCUCCACACCCCUGCCUCCUGUUUCCACAUUUCUUCCCAGAUAAGAAUUUUACUGCAGCAGCCACAGGCUGGACAAGAAUGUUCUAAGCAAGACUCAGCCAAAGCAUCACAGCUGUGCCACUGCAAAAGCAAGCCUUGGGUCACUGGCAGCUGAACAUCUGGCUGCUGUUUAGCAUCUGAAAGUUAGCUGCACAUUUACACCAGAACAAAGGCCUGGAUAUAUGCAUUUCAUCAGUCAUCUACUCUGGAGAGGAAUGGCAUAAAUUUCAACACAUCUGCUAUUUUUGCCUGCAAAAUAUUCAAAAUUGUUUCUGCAGAAGCUAUGGGCAGCAGUGGGGGACAUUUAUUUAAAGAAACUUGGAACAAUGGAUCACUAGCGAUUAAAAUAAAAAUGGAAAUUACAUUCUGGAUGCAGGAGGCAAAUGAGUAUUGCAUUUACAAUACUCUGGCAUUUAGCAUGUAUGAACCACCGCUGAAUAGUUGCAUUUUGGAAAUUUUGAAACCUGGUUGUCUUUUGAAAAAUGCAGAUUCAAGCUUCUCAUUUUAUGCUAAUGUGAAGAGGUGAAGGAGAAUACCAGUUUGUUGAAACAAGUGAAUUAACAUGUGAAUGGGGCGUAUUGGACUUCUCCCUCUUGAAACCACGGCUUUCAAAGUACAAAGUAGGAUUUAAAUCUCACACUGUGAUUUUUCUCUUUUCAGAUCCCCAAAUCAUGUUACUUGUAGUGCAUUAAUAGGCUUUGAGCCUGUACCCCAUUGACUAGAGGCGCUGUCAUUUUUACUAAUAGCCAUAAUCUACAAAUCUAGCAAUCAAUGAAACAACCUGUUUUCUCUCCCCCUUCCUAAUUUUUCUUUUGGAUCUCACUUUCAGUUUCCAGGACUGAUGGUUAUGAAAACACUUGCAAAGUAGGAAUGUGAAUGGGAGACCAGCCUGGAUUCUCUCCUUCCUCAUCAAAUCCUUUUUUUUUCAGAGGAGUGCUAGAGAGGUUUGCCUUCAGUGCUGAUGUACUCCUUGCAAAUAAGACAGGCUUGCAGCACUAUAUUGCUGAGGAAGCUAGACUGCAGUGACACAGGAGAAUUAGUGCUGCUAAAGGGAAGAGACUUGGGGAGGUAGUUUCAGGAAUGUUUCCAGCACCAGGGUGACUAAAACCUCACAGCUCAACCAGCCUAAUCCCAUACUGCAAAAAGUCAAGCCACCUUCAGCAGAGACUAUGACAUUUUCUGCUCAUGUGAAGUAAAAACUCAGGAAUCUCUGCUGUGAAUGAAAUUCCCCAAUUAAAGCAAAAUUUUGCCUUCCAAAAUCCUCUCCUCCCUCUUCCCCCUCUCCAUUUGCCCAAAUUAGCCAUGGUAACCUGGCCUGCUUUUCAAAUACCUGCUUGUAUUUGUGAUGGAGUACACAUUUGCAAUAUCAUUGCAAAUUGUUCCUUCAUUGCAUUCGACUUGUCUCUGAUUAAUGAUUAAAGCAAAGCAAAACCAUUGUAGCUGGUUCUAAGUGCCUCUGUUAGCGAAGAACAGAGCUUGCAGUAAGUCUGCUCUGGUGUCAAGACACCGGAGCUGGACCACUCUGGGCUGCUCUCAAGCCAAGUCCUGCAAAUAUCACUUGGUAAGAUGCUCCCUGCCUCACACAGCCUGCUUUUAUUUGCAAUUGCAUUCACAUAAUUUUUAAAACAACAUUGCAUUUGACAAUAACACGGAGAUGUUCUGGUUUUAGUUCUCUUCUUUGUUUGGGGUAAUCACUGUCUUCCUCUUAUGCAGUAACACAAGUCCGAACUCUGUAGCAACUGGAUGUUCCCACUGCAAUACCAGAGAGUGGUGGCUAAAAUCCAGUUGUGUCAGUUGGAAAGGUAGCAGGAGGUGCAGUUAUAUUAGGCUGCUUUAAAGGCUAUAAAACUCUUCUUUCUCCUGGCAAUGCCAGUGUUUGCCUUUCUGACAAAAUGACUGACUCUUCGAUGCAAUAGCUGCUUUGCUCCAUA